rnacentral:rRNA from 1 species
CGAAGGGGGGCUAGCGUUGUUCGGAAUUACUGGGCGUAAAGCGCGCGCAGGCGGUUCUUAAGUCAGGGGUGAAAGCCCAGAGCUCAACUCUGGAAUUGCCUUUGAAACUAGAGAACUUGGGUACGGGAGAGGUGAGUGGAAUUCCGAGUGUAGAGGUGAAAUUCGUAGAUAUUCGGAAGAACACCAGUGGCGAAGGCGGCUCACUGGCCCGUUACCGACGCUCAGGCGCGACAGCGUGGGGGAGCAAACAGGAUUAGAUACCCUGGUAGUCCACGCCGUAAACGAUGGAUGCUAGCCGUUGGUAAGCAUGCUUAUCAGUGGCGCAGCCAACGCAUUAAGCAUCCCGCCUGGGGAGUACGGCCGCAAGGUUG